rnacentral:sRNA from 1 species
UUAGUUAAUCACUUAGUUUGGUUUAUGC